UUUAUUGUAAUAAGGGUCACGCGUGUGGUUGAAUGCGUUUAUUUUUGCAAGUGUGAGUAAUAUAAAUGGCGGUGCAUUGUAGCAACGCGGUUUUCAUUCGGACGCGUUCGUGCUGAACAGUUACGUUGUUUUUAAAUAAACAUAUUUUAUUUAACAUCAAGAUGCCUUGCGGAGGUUGUGGAGAUAGCUGCAAAUGCACACCAACGCAGUGUUGCACGAACUGCAAGUGUGAUGCAUCGUGCUCAUGCACAUGCAAACGCUCUGGGGACGCCACCGCCACCAAGAAGUGAUGGCCACAUAACAACCAUAUCAUAUAUAUCAUAUCAUUAAUAUAUAUCGUGUCAUAAAUAUAUGUUCAAUGAUAUCUAAUUACUUUUUUCUUUUAAUGAACGCAGAUCGGAAAUGUGACUUAAUAAAAAGCUUAUGUAUUUA